rnacentral:ncRNA from 1 species
CAUUCGUUUGAUGAAAAGGGAAGUUAGUGCAAUUCUAACGCUGUCCCGCAACUGUAAUUCCGAGCUAUUCACAUAUACCACUGUUUCAACGAAAUGGGAAGGUGUGAUAUGCAAUGACGAUAAGCCAGGAGACCUGCCUUUUCAAGU